rnacentral:rRNA from 1 species
AUUGAACGCUGGCGGCAGGCCUAACACAUGCAAGUCGAACGAGUGGCGGACUGGUGAGUAAUGUAUGGGGAACUGCCCGAAGGAGGGGGAUAACUACUGGAAACGGUAGCUAAUACCGCAUACCAUCGAAUGGACCCAUAUCGGAUUAGCUAGUAGGUGGGUUAAAGGCUCACCUAGGCGACGAUCCCUAGCUGGUCUGAGAGGAUGACCAGCCACACUGGAACUGAGACACGGUCCAGACUCCUACGGGAGGCAGCAGUGGGGAAUAUUGCACAAUGGGCGCAAGCCUGAUGCAGCCAUGCCGCGUGUAUGAAGAAGGCCUUCGGGUUGUAAAGUACUUUCAGCGAGGAGGCGUUACUCGCAGAAGAAGCACCGGCUAACUCCGUGCCAGCAGCCGCGGUAAUUC